rnacentral:snRNA from 14 species
GUACUUACCUGACAGGGAACAUCCCCUUCGUCUCAGCCUUGAAGGACCUGGCGUAGUUAGAAGGCGAAGGCCUGUCCCUUGCACUGUGGGAAGGCUGAGCCUGCAAAUGCCUCCUGAUGGGAGGAUCUUGGCUACACAAUUUAUGGUGAUGGGGGAUUGUGCUCGGGCUCUCCCUCU